UACGAAGGGGACUAGCGUUGUUCGGAAUCACUGGGCGUAAAGCGCACGUAGGCGGAUUCGUAAGUCAGGGGUGAAAUCCCGGGGCUCAACCUCGGAACUGCCUUUGAUACUGCGGGUCUUGAGUCCGAUAGAGGUGGGUGGAAUUCCUAGUGUAGAGGUGAAAUUCGUAGAUAUUAGGAAGAACACCGGUGGCGAAGGCGGCCCACUGGUCCGGUACUGACGCUGAGGUGCGAAAGCGUGGGGAGCAAACAGG
rnacentral:rRNA from 1 species